GGGCGAAAGCCUGAUGGAGCAACGCCGCGUGAAUGAAGAAGGAUUUCGGUUCGUAAAACUCUGUUGUAAGGGAAGAACAAGUACAGUAGUAACUGGCUGUACCUUGACGGUACCUUAUUAGAAAGCCACGGCUAACUACGUGCCAGCAGCCGCGGUAAUACGUAGGUGGCAAGCGUUGUCCGGAAUUAUUGGGCGUAAAGCGCGCGCAGGUGGUUUCUUAAGUCUGAUGUGAAAGCCCACGGCUCAACCGUGGAGGGUCAUUGGAAACUGGGAGACUUGAGUGCAGAAGAGGAUAGUGGAAUUCCAAGUGUAGCGGUGAAAUGCGUAGAGAUUUGGAGGAACACCAGUAGCGAAGGCGACUAUCUGGUCUGUAACUGACACUGAGGCGCGAAAGCGUGGGGAGCAAACAGGAUUAGAUACCCUGGUAGUCCACGCCGUAAACGAUGAGUGCUAAGUGUUAGGGGGUUUCCGCCCCUUAGUGCUGCAGCUAACGCAUUAAGCACUCCGCCUGGGGAGUACGGUCACAAGACUGAAACU
rnacentral:rRNA from 1 species